AAAGUAAAGCUUGGACGGUUGAAACUGGUUAAAAAUUUAUUUAAAAAUAUUUAUUUUAAAAUAAAUUUUUAACCAGUUUCAACCGUCCAAGCUU